UACAGAGGUCUCAAGCGUUGUUCGGAUUCAUUGGGCGUAAAGGGUGUGUAGGUGGCGCGCUAAGUCGGGUGUGAAAUUUCGGAGCUUAACUCCGAAACUGCAUUCGAUACUGCCGUGCUUGAGGACUGGAGAGGAGACGUGGAAUUACGGUGUAGCGGUGAAAUGCGUAGAUAUCGAUAAGGAAGACCAGUGGCGAAGGCGGGUCUCUGGA
rnacentral:rRNA from 1 species